GAGCGGCUGUUGUCUGCGAGACCUAUCGAGUGACACAUACUUCUCUGAUAAGCAAAGCUGGGUUACGCCAAGUAGCGCGUUUUGUGAGGCGAGGAUCGGUCCAUUUUUAAUUAGUAUAGUAUGAAGAUCUAAUCUGGACGCCUUAUUCUGGACUAACUGAAGUCUGUUAAGAUCUGUCUUAUUAGCUGCUGACCAAAUGAUUGAACAGUACUCCAGAUGAGGCAUUACUAGUGCAUUAAUGACAUCUUUCAUAAUUGAAGAAGUGAUACAGAAAGAGCAUUUCAUAGCCAUAGCUAUGCCUUGUCCCGUUUUCUUAAAAACAGUCGAUGUGCUGAGACCAUGAAAGGUGGUGAUUUAUGGUAACGCCGAGUAGUUUAAUCUGGGUGACGUGUUCUAACACUGGCUAUGGAAAGACUCAGUUGUGGGCUGCUGACUAAUCUGCUUCCAAUUAACAUAGAUUUGGAUUUAGAUACAUUUAAAAUCAUGUUGUUUUUACUUAUCCAGUCAAACACACGAGAUUCGAAGUGCGUUUCUGAGAUACCGACGAGGCCUCCCUUGCAAGUAAAUCGAUCGCUGUUGCCUUGUUUUUCUUUCAUGGGAAUAAGUCCUGGGGUCUGUUUCAGAAAGCGGGUUUAGAAAACUCAGAGUUAAAAAUGAUACUCAGGUUUGAGUAACCCCGAACUGUCCAACUCGGAAUAUUCGGUUUCAGAAAGGCUGAUAACAAUUAGUUCAAUCAACGCGGAGUUGCUUUAACCCCAAGUUAAGCGCGCGCACGAGGAUACAUAAAGCCCUGAUUAGUGGAGCACAGAUUAAGCGAGUCACCAUGGAGACGGAGGGAAAGAAGGCGCGGUCAAUGUAUUUUACAGCGCUUGAGGCCGAAAUUCUGAUGGCAGCAUAUGCCGAUAACAUGCAAAUUUUGCGGGAAAAAAGUAACACAGCCUCAGCUGCAAAAGAAAGGGAGCAUGCAUGGCAAAACAUAGCCGACAGAGUCAAUGCGUGAGUGUUAAUUUAAACAUUGAUCUAGGGAUUUCCACCCAUUUAACACGUUAUUUUAUUAUAUUUCAUUUUAUUUCUUAUUUUAUACGUUUUAUUUUUUGAUGUGACGUGAGCGCAGGUGCAACCCAACAGGUCCCAAACGUUCCUGGCAGCAAGUAAAAAUGAAAUAUAAAAAUAUAGUCCAAACAGGUAAGGUGUAAUUGUAUUAUGAGCCAUAGUGCUUGGUCUGUUUGUCCUAUGUAAAUCAAUUGCAGUUAAAGGCUACAUUAAUUUUCUUUCUGUAAGCACUUAUUGAAAUUAUCUGAGCACAUUACAAGUACAUAUUUGCUUACUCUGUAUGCUCAAAUGUGACCCGUUAUAGCCAACAGAAAAAAAGCGGAGGCCCGAAAAACAGGUGGGGGUCCUCCACCUGAAGGCAUCUCUGCGGGGACAUCCUCUGAGUCAAUAACCCCGCAAGACACAAGUGCCUACAUAAGAGGCAAAUUCAAAAUAAUACAUGAUGUGCAUACAUCCUUUCUUCACAGUCACCUUUGCAGUGCUACUCAUUCAUUUGAUAAACUCUUUACCAUAAUGAAUUAUUUUGUAGUGAAGUUAUUUCCCUAAUGAUUUUGCCUUCCCUCAGUCUUGGUUGUCUUUGAGAGCAUAAUGACAAUGAAGUGUAAGGUGAUUGGUAUGUUUGUUAAUUGCCAUUUGGUCCCUUGUAAGUUAUAAGUGACCUGUAUAAACCUCAUAUUCUAUCAGAUGGUGAUGGUGUACUGCAUCUGGUGCAGCCUCCUGUUGAGCCAGACCAACAUGCAGUUGAAAAUAAUGAAGAAACAUUGACAGCUGUUACAGAGGAGGAAGCAACAGACACCUUAUGAGGUUUACAUCUUACAAUGGAAAAUAUAACAAUUGAAUAAAAUGUGGUACUAUAAUAAAACCAUGGACUUUCUAUGUCUCUAACAGAGUGAUGAUGGAAAUGCAGAGGAAGAGGGUCCAGCCACUUCUCCAACAAACCUUUCCUCAGUAAGAUGUUCAGCACUGAUUUACAACCAACCUAAGUAGGCAUGUACUAUGAAUGUCAAUGCUAUUUUCUGUGUUUCAAUAGCUCCCUGUAAAGCAGCUGUACAAGACCUAUUUGAUCAAGAAAAUAAAAAAUGCGACUUGGAAAUGGAACACUUCAAGCAGCAGAUCCAAAAGACCAAGAUUGAGAUUUUACUGCUGGAACAUCAGUUAAGGGUGGGUGAAGUGGUCAGAGAUGGACGAAUUAUUUCAGUGUUUGAACAACAUAAUAAUAUACUUAUUAAUACUUUGUGUACAGGAAAUACAGGCGACCAAUAAAGCCAGUUCCAAUCACAUUCCAAUCAAGCAAUGAUUGGAAUGUGAGCGCCAUCUAUACAGCCAACCACGCCUGGGAACCCUGAAAAUAAAUGUAAAAUUUAAGUAGUAGUUCAAGUAUCACCACAUCAUGAAUUAAGUUUUGUUCAUCCUGAUACCUGCAAUUUUGUGGAAUCCCUCUUUGAUAAAUCUUGUGGGUCUAUGACCGGGGAACACCACAAAUGAGUACAGGAGACGUUUCAGUGCAACUGUAACAUUCCUGACUGCCCGACAGACGGUAGCCUUGGAAACGUGCUCAGCGUCACCAAUAUUAUACAGAAAGCUCCCGUUUGCAAAAAAA